ACCACUGUGGAAUUGGCCUGCUCAAAGAAAGAUGCACUAAUGAUUCCAGAAAAGAGGAAGCCAUAGAAGAAGACCUACACAGACUUUCGAAAUGGUGAAGGAGAGAUACCACACAUCCUUCCUGCCGCUGUCAGACUUUAUAAUCAACACUGCUCCAAGUACACCACAUGCACCAUAUGUGACAAUUUACUCAUGUGGAACAUCAAUGUACACUUUCUUAUGCAAUAUCAGUAACUCCUCUGUGCAAUACUGUGAAUACCGUGUUGUUAAACUCUCUGUCUGUAUAC